rnacentral:rRNA from 1 species
GACGAACGCUGGCGGCGUGCCUAAUACAUGCAAGUAGGACGCAGUUGCGAACGGGUGAGUAACGCGUAGGUAACUGCCUAUUAGUGGGGGAUAACUAUUGGAAACGAUAGCUAAUACCGCAUACUAGUAGAUGGACCUGCGUUGUAUUAGCUAGUAGGUAGGGUAAUGGCCUACCUAGGCAACGAUACAUAGCCGACCUGAGAUGGUGAACGGGCAAACUGGGAAUGAGACACGGCCCAGACUCCGGCGGGAGGCAGGAGUAGGGAAACUUCGGCAAUGGGGGGAACGCUGACCGAGCAAAGCCGCGGGAGUGAAGAAGGGUUUCGGAUCGUAAAGCUCUGUUGUGAAGGGAGCGGUACUUAACCAGAAAGGGACGGCUAAAUACGUGCCAGAAGCCGCGGUAAUAC